GACGAACGCUGGCGGCGUGCUUAACACAUGCAAGUCGAACGGAAAGGCCCUGCUUUUGUGGGGUGCUCGAGUGGCGAACGGGUGAGUAACACAUGAGUAACCUGCCCUUGACUUUGGGAUAACUUCAGGAAACUGGGGCUAAUACCGGAUAGGAGCUCCUGCUGCAUGGUGGGGGUUGGAAAGUUUCGGCGGUUGGGGAUGGACUCGCGGCUUAUCAGCUUGUUGGUGGGGUAGUGGCUUACCAAGGCUUUGACGGGUAGCCGGCCUGAGAGGGUGACCGGCCACAUUGGGACUGAGAUACGGCCCAGACUCCUACGGGAGGCAGCAGUGGGGAAUAUUGCACAAUGGGCGGAAGCCUGAUGCAGCAACGCCGCGUGCGGGAUAACGGCCUUCGGGUUGUAAACCGCUUUCGCCUGUGACGAAGCGUGAGUGACGGUAAUGGGUAAAGAAGCACCGGCUAACUACGUG
rnacentral:rRNA from 1 species